UGGGGAAUAUUGGACAAUGGGCGCAAGCCUGAUCCAGCCAUGCCGCGUGUGUGAAGAAGGCCUUUUGGUUGUAAUGCACUUUAAGCGAGGAGGAGGCUACUUGGAUUAAUACUCUAGGAUAGUGGACGUUACUCGCAGAAUAAGCACCGGCUAACUCUGUGCCAGCAGCCGCGGUAAUACAGAGGGUGCGAGCGUUAAUCGGAUUUACUGGGCGUAAAGCGUGCGUAGGCGGCUUCUUAAGUCGGAUGUGAAAUCCCUGAGCUUAACUUAGGAAUUGCAUUCGAUACUGGGAAGCUAGAGUAUGGGAGAGGAUGGUAGAAUUCCAGGUGUAGCGGUGAAAUGCGUAGAGAUCUGGAGGAAUACCGAUGGCGAAGGCAGCCAUCUGGCCUAAUACUGACGCUGAGGUACGAAAGCAUGGGGAGCAAACAGG
rnacentral:rRNA from 1 species